GGUGAGGACGGAGCGGCUGGGUGAGGAGGUGGAGCAGCCGGGCCGGGCGGAGAAGCUUGCGGGCUCCGCGCACCUCACCUCCGCCAAUCAGCACCGCGAAUCGACGGUGACGUCGCUCUCCCCGCCCCCUGGGGGGCCGCCUUUCUCCAGGAAGCCACGCCCAACUGCUGGCCGGCCGCCUCCCUCUCGGCGGCUUCCGUGCGGUCCUAAAGGCUGGUGCUCGGCAGGAGGAGGACGCGGGCUGGGGCCGUGGGGCGGCGUGAGGGUAGCCCGGGAGCGGUGAGGAGCGUGCGAGGCCCACGUGAGCGGAGGGACGCGGCCGCUCUCACCUUUCCUGAGGGCCCUGGCCCGGCUUUGGACUCCUGAUUCUCCUCUGCUUGCCAGCUGCCGCCCCGCCUCCGCCAGUGGUGCCCGGGCUGCCUGCGCGGCCGGAGUGAACGCGUCCCGGGAGCAGGGGUUUCUCCGAAGUGAGUGCGCCAGCCCCGGGACGAGCUCGUUCGAGUCCUCACCGCCCAGUGCACUUCCUGAAAGCCGGCGGUGGGCUGUCUCCCACCUUGUGAAACUUUGCCAGGUGUCGCUCACAGGGGACUGGGUCCGGACGCGGGUGGCGGCGCUGGUUUGCGGCCCCGGUUUGCGGCCCCGGCGCCGCGAUCCCGGGCCGCGCCCACGCCCAGGCUGGAGGCACCGUGCGCAGGUGGGGACGCGCGGCCGGGAGGUGCGCAGCGGGACCCGGCCGGCCGAGGCAACAUAGUCCAAAUUUUUAAAACUCAGCUGGAUCUUUUGAGGGUUAAUUAAAAGGUACAAACCAGCUUGGCCACAGUGGGGCAGAGCACCAAGUAGACUCUUGGGGUUACUGAAUCCAGGUAUACGCUCUUGGACAGCACUUCUGGACCUGCUCUGGGACAGAGGGGAACACACUAUCCUGAAAGCUCUUCUGGAAGCAACUGAUCAGCUCCCCCUUUUUCUGCUAUGCCCUUAUUCCUCAUCGCUCAUAGACUGAAUCAUCGAAAUAAAAUGUUUUGAAAUAGAGCUGUUUGGAGAAAAGAAUAUCCAUUGCUAUCUCUUGAUAUCACUUUCCAAAACUCAGAAAAUGAAUAGUUUUGAAUGCCAAGGCAUGCUUCGAUAUGAAAUCUGUGGAUCUAGGUGACAGAAGACAUUUUUCAGAACUGACUAUAAUCAAGUCUUUCAUUUUGCAUUGAGUGGGCACACAGCAGACACCCGAUAAAUUGUUGAUGGAAUGAAAAGGAGGUGAGGGCUCUCUGUGCCCUCCAGAUCAGCAGGCAUUCAAUGUGGGAGGCAGGAAGGACCAUGGGAUGAGGCCCAGCAGCCCCUGCAGAGAGCCCUCUCUCCACCCGCCCCAGCCCCACGGAGAUCCUGGAGGAGGCAUGAGCAAGAGCAGGCCCAGCGUUGGUGGGUUGAUGGUUCUAGGGCGUUCCAACCAAUUUUCACACCCUGUCAACAAAAGUGGAAGAAGGGACUGUUGAAAACCACCAAGGAGCUGCUGGGUUCCUGUACCUCACGUCAGCCAAUUACAUUCUUUACUGGAAGCUCUCUUGGGCUCUGAUGCUGUAAGAACAGACUCUUGGAACCAACAUUUAUCCUUGAAUCAAAAACUCGUUGGAAACAUUACUGUGCUCUGCCAUUUGAAUCCGUAAUACGCCACCAAGGCCAGAGACUUUUUUUUCUUUAGUAUCUGUAACAACUCUUUGUUGAUGAUGUUAGUUUUGGUGUUUUGGUUUUGCCUGGAGCAGAUCCCAAUUUCUCCUUCGUAAACUUGAUGACUGGCACAGCACAGCAGGAGCCUUCUAAAUAGCUCAAGUGGCAUCAAUCUCAGCAGCCAGUGGCCACAUGCCACCUCGUCACCUUGGCUGGGGUCCUGUAGACAGCACGGUGGCUGGUGGCAUCUGUUUUGGCUGCUUCUCUGGGCUGUGCCUGAGCAGUGAAGAGACCAGUGUGGGUUUACCAGUGACCAGGAAGUCCUUGUUGAAAGAAAGAUGGGAACAAGUCUUAAAGAGAUAAUUAGCAUAUUCCCGGGGAAAUGACCCUUGACUGUUAGACACAGGCACUUGCAGUGAGCAGCUGCAAUGUUACUGUUCAGGCCACCCUGGUAAGGGAUCCCACAGGAUCAGGGGCCCAGCCAGUCUGGGUAGCCCCAGUGGCUUUGUCUCUGUGUCUUCUUUUGCCCUACUUUGUUGCAAAUUUAGCUAAAAUAUGUUUAUCCCUUGGGUCAUUGUGCAGUUUCAACUCCCUUUGCAAAAUAUUUCCCCAGGAGAAACUGGAGAGUAAUUUUUAAGUAUGAGUAAUGAAUUAGACUCCAGCCACAUUUUCUGGGGAACAGGCAGGUGAUUUUUUCUCUUUUCACACUGCAAAGAGAUCCUAGAACGCUGACAUCUGCAGGAUGCCAGCCUCACCUGCAUUCCUGACUGUUGGUUUGCUUCUUUAAUGUAGAAGCUUAGGGGGAAAAAGAAGGCUUAUUUAAAUGAUCUGAUGUUUCCUUUACCAAAGAUUUAAAAGAUGCACAGAGUUCAGAAAACUGUGGGAAACGAACCUUCCACUGCCAAGUUUCAGGAUGAAGAGAACACUCUGAGUGGUUUUCAAUUGUCUGCUACAAUAAAUGAUUAAUUUUCCCAUUAUAUUACAUUAGAGGGAUUAAAAAUGAUUCUGCCUUCCUUUUAUACCCAGUUUUAUGAGUCACUUGUAUGAUGGCGUGUCAGUAGUAAUAAAGAUGGACCAGACAGUUUAAAUAAACUGUGCUCCAGCAGAAGGCUCCUGGGUGAUGUGAGAUUCCCUUAACUCUUUCUCUUGAUUGAGGGUUUGGAUGGAAUCAGAGGCCAGGGUGGCAGGGCUGCAGGCAGCUGGGAGCCAGUUCCAAAGGCUGGCUCAAACUGGGUGGGGUUUGAUGAACUGCCCCUCACCAGCGUCUCCUGCAGGCUCACUGUGUUAGUUUCCCACAGCUACUGUAACAGGGAACGACACACUGGGUGACUUAGAGCAACAGAAAUGAAUUAUCAUGCAGCUUGGGAGGCCAUAGUCUGAGAUGAAGAUGUUGGCAGGGCCCUGCUGUCUCUGAAGGCAGCAGGGAAAGAUUGGUUGGAGGCUCUCGGCUAGAUUCUGGAGUUCCUGGGCUUGUGGCAGCAAAAUUCCAGUCUUCACAUGGCAUUCUCCCUGUGUGUGUAUGUCUCCAAAUUUCCCUUUUUGAUAACGACAUCAAUCAUAUUGGAUUAGGGGCCCAUAAUACUCCAGUAUAACCUCGUCUUAACUAAUCGUAUCUGCAACAACACUGUCUCCAAAUAAGUCCACAUUCUAAGGUACUGGAGAUUAGGAUGUCAACACAGGAAUGAUGGGGAGACGAACUUCAACCCAGACUGCGCACCCUGGUGAGUGUUGAAGCUUCACCCUCCAUUCAGAAGCUGCAGGUAAGUGACCAUGAGACUGCUUCUCCUCCCUGCUGCUCACCCCGGAGGAGGAGAAAAGCCAGCCUGUAGGGAGGCCCAGGCUUAGGUGAGGGACCCAUACUUAGUUUGCAUUUUCCUUACAGUUCUGCUCUGUUUCUGUUCCUCCUUCCUCAGAUUACAGAUGCUCCAAUUCACUAUCUAAAUCAUUAUUAUUAUUAUUAUUAUUUUUUGAGAUGGACUCUCACUCUGUCUCCCAGGCUGGAGUGCAGUGGCACAAUCUCGGCUCAAUGCAACCUCCAUCUCCCAGGUUCAAGCAAUUCUCCUGCCUCAGGCUCUUGAGUAGCUGGGAUUACAGGCAUGUGAAAAUGUGCAACCACACCUGGCUGAUUUUUGUAUUUUUAGUAGAGACGAGGUUUCGCCCUGUUGGCCAAGCUGGUCUUGAACUCCUGACGUCAAGUGAUCCGCC
rnacentral:lncRNA from 1 species